UAGUGUUGCAAUGUAAACAUUGCAGUUUCUCUGGAAGUGCAAUGUUUUACAUUGCAGCACUA
rnacentral:miRNA from 1 species